rnacentral:misc_RNA from 1 species
UUUAGGGAGACCUUACCCCCAUUUCCUUAAGCUUUAGGAUAAAUGCCUAGAGCACGCAGAGGAGUGGUUGGUCAUCUCAAGGUCGGUGAGGGUUGGAUGUCAGGCUUUCAAACUUGUCUAGUUCAUCUUUAAAGAUUAAGACUGCAACAAUGCAACAAUACAAGUGCUUACUUGAGCGCAAAUUAGCUUGCAAGCCUUUUGAUUGCUGCGCUUAAUGCUAAAUGGAAUGUAUUCAGCAACAGUAUUAGUUGAACUAAGCUGCCUGCUGGGAGACAUUCCAGCAAGAACCAUGAAAACUGCAUAGUGAUAAGCAAUUAAGUCAGGUAGAAGUUCAUCUUUAGUUUGUCUUCGUCUUCAGGAUUGAAGCGACGAGAUGAACCUUCAUAGACACCAAUGUAAAGACAAGUUAGU